rnacentral:rRNA from 1 species
UACGUAGGGGGCAAGCGUUGUCCGGAAUCAUUGGGCGUAAAGCGCGUGUAGGCGGCCCGGUAAGUCCGCUGUGAAAGUCGGGGGCUCAACCCUCGAUGCCGGUGGAUACUGUCGGGCUAGAGUGCGGAAGAGGCGAGUGGAAUUCCUGGUGUAGCGGUGAAAUGCGCAGAUAUCAGGAGGAACACCAAUUGCGAAGGCAGCUCGCUGGGACGUGACUGACGCUGAGACGCGAAAGCGUGGGGGAGCAAACAGG